GAGCAACUCCUGGUAUAACUGAAGAAACUGGUGAGACUAUGGUAGGAGAAGCUGACGAGAUCAAACUUGAAGCUGAACUUGUAGUUGGCUCGUUUCCCAAGCUCUCAACUCUUGCGAACUGUGGUGUUGAACAAAGUAGUUGAGGUGGAACAGCACUAUAAACUUUUGGCAGAGGUGGAACAGCUCCAUACACCUGAAGUGGAGGUGGAACGGCUCCAUAGACCUGUGGGGGAGG
rnacentral:lncRNA from 1 species